AAAUAGGGGACCAGGAUCUCAGGGGAGAGUAGCUGAGGCCUUGCUCGGAGUCCCAGGAGAUCCACAGGUCCGGCAUGAACAGUGAGAGGUCAGAGGUGGAAGGCUCAGCAGGAGAGGAGAGGAGGAUCAGCAGAGGUCAUGAGAAGGCCAGAAUCCAGGGUCAGGCUGUCUGGAACAGGAAGUAAAAUGGGCCGAGAUGGAGCGAGCCCCCAGUGUGCUUCCAAGGCCACUCCCACCUCCCUGAAACACCCUGCUACGUACUGAUCCAAUGCCCUGCGCUGUGUAUGAGAGCACCUUCUCUUCUGAAACCCCUAUACAAGGGAGGGGCCCCUGCGGAGACCGUGCCCUGCCAUCCAGGUCACCUUGCCUUCAGGGACCUGGGCUUUCAGCUGUCCAUACCUGGCCCUGGUUGAUGGCGGCAUGCUGGGCAGUGCACGUGAAGACGCACAUGAGACAGCAUCUCGUAUGUUGCCCAGGCUGGCCUUGAAAGCCUGGCCU
ensembl:lncRNA MIR497HG mir-497-195 cluster host gene